AGAGUUUUGAUCCUGGCUCAGAACGAACGCUGGCGGCAUGCCUAACACAUGCAAGUCGAACGAAGGCUUCGGCCUUAGUGGCGCACGGGUGCGUAACGCGUGGGAAUCUGCCCUUGGGUUCGGGAUAACAGCGGGAAACUGCUGCUAAUACCGGAUGAUGACGUAAGUCCAAAGAUUUAUCGCCCAGGGAUGAGCCCGCGUAGGAUUAGCUAGUUGGUGGGGUAAAGGCCUACCAAGGCGACGAUCCUUAGCUGGUCUGAGAGGAUGAUCAGCCACACUGGGACUGAGACACGGCCCAGACUCCUACGGGAGGCAGCAGUGGGGAAUAUUGGACAAUGGGCGAAAGCCUGAUCCAGCAAUGCCGCGUGAGUGAUGAAGGCCUUAGGGUUGUAAAGCUCUUUUACCCGGGAAGAUAAUGACGGUACCGGGAGAAUAAGCCCCGGCUAACUCCGUG
rnacentral:rRNA from 1 species